CCCCCCGCUCGGAGCGGGUCCUGCGGCCGUCGCGCGUCGCUCCCCUGAGGCGCCGAGCGGGAGGGGCGCCGGGAAGGAAGGAAGGAAGGAAGCGGGGCACGGGUUGUGCUGUGAGGCUGUGCUGGCCCCCGGGGGUACCCUGGGGGGGGGGAAACAGGGUUUUACCCCGCUACCCGUAGCUGCUCCAAACCUACUGCCCGUCUGUACCUGCGCGCGGGGACUGGCCCUGUCCUUUCCUUUCUACUUGCGUUUAUAGUUAGUCCUCCCUGCACAGCCGGCAUUAUUCACCUUCUUUUAGGGAGAUUCGCAGAAUAGCUAGAGUUGGAAGGGUCUUCUGGAGAUCAUCCAGUCCAACCCCCCUACCAGGGCAGGGUCACCCAGAGCAGGUGACGCAGGAAUGCGUCCCGGGGGCUUUGGAAUGUCCCCAGAGAGGGAGGCUUCACAACCUCCCUAGGCAGCCUGUUCCAGUGCGCUGCCACCCUCAACGUAAGGAAGUUCUUCCUCGUGUUGAGGUGGGACAUAGGUUUCAGUUUAUGGCCAUUGCCCCUCGUCUUAUCGUUGGGCUCCACUGAAAAGAGUCUGGCACCAUCCUCUUGGCACCUGCCUGUGAGAUCUUUAUAUGUAUUGAUGGGAUCCCCUCUCGGUCAUCUCUUCUCUAGGUUAACCACUAGGUUGGUAGUAUAUCAAAAUAAAAAGGUAUCUGCCCCCGUGGAUCUCUCAAUGCCACAGUCCUGCGCACCUCUCUCGGGACAGGGUUUAACUGAACUGUUCCAAAAGAUCACACCUUGCCGCUGGAGCUGUUUUUAACAAAUUAACAUCUCAAUGUGCCGAAGGUUGAAUGGCAAAGUCAAUAAAACAGCCAUUUGUUUCUAUAGAAACUGAACACCUUAGCAGCGAUUGUACCAAGCUCUGAUUUUGAUGGUUUCUUCCCCCCCCCCGGAAUUUGCUACUUUUGCAGCCUCCUCUUACUUGUUUUCAGGAAAUCAGAAAUUUGGAAACCUGGCUUGGAAUUUCUUAGCAUGUGAGGAAUGCUGGCAAUCACAUGAUAACGGUACCAAAAAACCUCUAGAACCUAGUUCAGUGAGUUAGAAUUAAUUUCUGACGCUGCGUAAUCAUGCACCCUGAAAAUCUCAGUUUGUUCCUCCACUUUCAGAUCGUCAGGACCUUUGCAACUCCCUAUCUUCCAUUCCUCCUUCUCCUAAGGUCUUUCUACAGUACAGCCGAAAGGAGCUAAUCCAAGAAUCAGCUGAUGCAGCUGCUUACUGCCCAGAGAUUUUUGGGGAGUUUCUGCGGGUUCUUUUUCCAACACGACUAUCGUUAACAUGAGGAAAUGUGGUAAGAAAAGAAAUAUUCAAUUGGUGCGUUCCAGAUUUCUUGUUCUCAGAUGAAGUUUUCCUGUUCUGUUCUCAAGAGACAGGGAUAUUGAAAUGGCUUCAGGAAUACAAAUAAGUAAUUUAGCUUAUCCUGGGAGGAAAAUCCUAACAGGUUUCUGGAAAUACACAAGGCAUGGAAUGGUAGUGCUUGGUAGUGCGACAGUGCAGUAGCUGUGCUUUUAAAAACUAGUAGGUCCAUGAAUAUCUUUUUUUUUUUUUCCCUGUUAGGACAGAGAGUUUCUGGAUUACUUAGUUCUGAGUCUGGUUGUACCAAAGUUUGUUAGCUUUGCUCUGCUUUUUCCUUCUCCUUUUUUGUUCUCAGCGUCAGUCUUUAUGCUUCCCCUGAAAAUAUGGUGUUUAUUGCAGUGAGUCUUCUAAGUUGUCUUGACCUCAGUCAUUUUAUCUGAAUCACUUGAAUGUUUUGAUAACCACCUGAAAAGUCUUACUUCUCAGUUCAAUUUUUUUUCCCCAGACAAAAAAUAGAGGGUUUUCCUUUGACAGUCAUUCUUCUUUUCCAUUGAAUAGUAGGAAGGCACAUGAAUUCCUGCAGAGCCCUUGAAAUGCUGUCAAGAAUUUUUGGUAGGGUUUGGGAAGUUCCAGGUAUUUAUGUUUGGUUUUGAUGUCCAAGAUCUAGUUCUCCAAAGCAUUUACAUUUCCAAAUGCUGUAAUUUGUGCAUUGGAAUUCUCUUAGGAGCUGGGCAUAAAGGAGAUUUUCAUUACUCACUUCCUUCCAACAUUAAUACACAAGCUUUAAAACUUAAUGGGUUAUGGAAACCUCUUAGAUACAGGAAGAGAGCUGGGAAGGCCCAAAGAGGGCACACAUCUGUUAGACCUCAGCAGUCUGCUGCUGGCAUUGCCAGGUAGUCCUUUUCUGUAGCUUUAUUUACAUUAUGUCUGAAUCCCAGUUUUAGCCAUUGCUUGUGGCUUUGCCAAUGCAAACACUCAGCAUGAGCAAAAAUGAAAAAAAAAAUUUAAAAUGGAUUCCAUUGGAACUUGGGUUCAGAGCCAGAAUAAACUUGAGUAGUGCAAAUGUCAGCUUUUGUUCACACUCAGAGUUUGUAUUGCUGUCUAAAAUGGCAACUAACCCUAAGCAUAGGUGAGAGGACACAAACCCAAGUGCUCGGCUGACGAUGUUGUUAGUCUAACAGGACUUUGGAACACGGAAGAAGUUCCAGCACACCAUCAGAAGCGCCCAUACUUCCCUAACGGGGAUGUGAGCUUGCAUCUUGCUGCUUGACUUUUGGAAUACCAGGAAGUGGCAGCUCAUUGAAUUGCCUGCCUUGUCUACUGCUGCAGUUCUUGGAAGAUAAUUUGGCAGCUCCCACAGAGGCACUCAUGAACACCUCCUCCUUCUCACUGGGCAUCCAGGACAUCUCUUCUUGUCCAGUCCUCACCACAAAGUUUACAUGAUCACUUUUAUGUGUGUAUACCAGACCUGUCCACUGACAAAUGCAGCUGAGCAUGGCAAGAGGAGCUCACCAGCCAUCCCGGGCACUGUGCAGGAGCCAAAUGUCCUGGGAAGAGAGGCUGUGGGCAGCCACCCUGUGCAACUGUCCCUGUAAGAAGGUGUGAGCAGAGCUGGUGUGCACAGUGUACACGAGCCUGUGCCUUGUUCCAUCUGUGUGGAGAGAAGCUGUCACAGAAAUGAUGGGAGGCUGGCAAAGAGACCUGACUGCCAAAGGAAGACACUGUUAGUAGCCUGGAGUGUGCAGCCAAUGUUGAAGAGUGGUAUAAAUUUAAUUGGUAACUCAUUUCUUAUUAAAACUGACAGAUGUUUUUCUUUCUAGCAGAACAGACAAGAGUGGAAAGGUUUCACAUAAUCACUGAUUUCACUGAAACUUGACAGCAUUAUCAAGCCUUUUAAAUCUUUUUCAAUUGUAUAUGAAUCCCGUAAAAUAUCAAAACACCAGCAUGUAAACAAAGGACUUCAAUAAGCUUUGUUUGGUAUUUCUAUUAUAUUCAAAUUUGGAAUGAAAGGAGAUGAGAAAUAAUCAACUUUCCCAAGAAAAUGUAAUGUCUGAAACUGUCAAGGAGUCCAGUGACCCCUGCUGAUGGACAAGUCACCUCCUGAAAAGUAUCCUCCUGCUGCAACAAAUCCAGCACACCUGCCACAAAGGGAAUUCUUGUUCACAUCCUAUUGGAUGUUCGGGGUCACCCUCCAGGGUGGCAGCUCCAAUUGCUAAUACUGUGUUUUGGAGAGGUACUUUCUGAAGCACACUUAUGGAAAUGUAGAGGUCUUAACUGAUGCUUGAGUAACAUAGGCACAUCUCUGACAAGUGGGUAGGCCUUAGCUUCAUCCUGCAGAAGAGAAAACAAAAGACACAUGCAAACUAUUUUCUGCUGAAGAGAACAUGGAUAUUGGAGAAAUGAGAGUUCUCAUUAAAAAAGUUCUCUCUCACACUGCACUAGCACAUUGAUUUCUUCUCCUGCAGCAAAACUGGGUUUCAUUUGUAGGGGACU